GGAACACUAGGUGACUUGUCUUGAACUGUGUUUUCACAGCAAACACCACCUAGGUUUCAUACAGACUGAGUAGGACUGAUGCUGAUGGCUGAUGGAAAGCUAAAGCCCCUCAAAAUCAUCUCUUGGCACUGAGGGUGUAAAAAUGACUAGAGCUAGUUCUCCAUAGCAGUUUUCUCUUCUGAAGCUGAGCAGCAGCAAGAAGCGUUGCAUUAAUAUGUGAAUAAAAGGAUAAGAAUUCACCAUCGUCUACACUAAAAUUCUUUUUGAUGUUAUAAGGAAAGAGCUUAAAAUCUACCUGCCAGAAAAAAUGAAGAAGGAGAAAACGAGGAAGAGGAAAAAAAUUCAUGAACCUUUUAAUGAUUAACAAGAAAAGGAAAUGUAAGUGCAAAAUCCAAUUCAUUGACUUAAAUGUUGGUGUUAUCUCAGGUUUAGUUUUUGCCUCCUUGGCUUCUAAUUACAAAGCAUUGUUAGGUGGCAACACACAAAAUCACAUACAGUUUCAACGACUACCUAUACCCCUUUAGCUUGAUGAUAACCAAAUCUAUAUAUGUAGCCUGAAUCUCACUCCUAAACUCUCCACGUUUACAUCUUACUUCCUAUGUAAGCUCUCCAUUUGGAUGGAUUCCAACCACAUGAAAAUCAGCAUAUUCAAAACCAAAUUUGUCAUUCCUCA